UUGGACAAUGGGGGCAACCCUGAUCCAGCCAUGCCGCGUGAGUGAAGAAGGCCCUCGGGUUGUAAAGCUCUUUUGUCCGGAAAGAAAAGCAUUCGGUGAAUACCCGGAUGUUCUGACGGUAACGGAAGAAUAAGCACCGGCUAACUUCGUGCCAGCAGCCGCGGUAAUACGAAGGGUGCAAGCGUUACUCGGAAUUACUGGGCGUAAAGCGUGCGUAGGUGGUUGUUUAAGUCUGAUGUGAAAGCCCUGGGCUCAACCUGGGAAUGGCAUUUGAAACUGGGCAGCUAGAGUGCGGUAGAGGGUAGUGGAAUUCCCGGUGUAGCAGUGAAAUGCGUAGAGAUCGGGAGGAACAUCUGUGGCGAAGGCGACUGCCUGGACCAGCACUGACACUGAGGCACGAAAGCGUGGG
rnacentral:rRNA from 1 species